GAGUUGUGAUGUGUCAUGGCAUUUCUUGGGGACGACAAUAUGUUGAUUUUAGAGAAGAAAAUAUUCCUUUACUGGUGGUCAGUCGCCAGAAUGCGUUUCACUGCGUUCGUCGUCAUUUGCUGCUGUGCCAGUUUUAAUUAUGCCCGUCAUCUCAAGACAGACCAACUGACUGGUGAGUAUGCGGUGCUACGGUCGAAAAGGUCAAUCGUGGAAGACGAAGCCCUUGCUAGGGAGUACCUGUCAGCCCACAAUGUAAAAUCUUCCGAAAUGUGUUACAAGACUAACGUUGCGGAGUGGAGAUUCGCUUCGGACAUCACCGACGAGAACGAACGACUCAAAUUGGAGCAAAGUUUAGUUGCCGCUCGUUUUGAGAAAGAAGCUUGGAAGAAUAUAACCAGUUUCAAUUGGAAACCGUUCACUGACCCCGAUUUGAAACGCAAAUUUAAACUCUUAUCCGUUUUGGGUCCUUCUGCCCUCCCAGAGGGUAAACUAACGCAGUACCGCAAAACAAUUGACGCCAUGGAGAAGAUUUACAGCACGGCCAAAAUCUGUUCCUUCACCAAUCCGGGCGAUUGCGGAAUGAAUCUCGAUCCUGAAAUUACGGAGAAAAUGAGCAAAAGUCGUAACUUUGACGAGUUGAAACAUGUUUGGCAGCAGUGGCACGAACAGAGUGGCGGUAAAAUGCGGCAUCAUUACGAAAAAUUCGUCGAACUCAGCAACGAAGCCGCUCGAAUGAAUAAUUUCAGCGACACGGGAGCUUAUUGGCUACAGAAUUAUGAGUCGGACACAUUCAAGGAAGAUAUCGAGGGGCUGUGGCAGACCAUCAGACCGUUUUACCUUCAACUUCACGCCUACGUCCGGGCCAAACUCCGAGCUCAUUACGGAGAAGACAAGGUCCCCAAAAAUCAACCCAUACCCGCACAUCUUCUGGGCAAUAUGUGGGCCCAAUCAUGGGGGAAUAUCGACGACUUGGUUACGCCAUAUCCAGGGAAAACUUCCAUUGAUGUCACUCCUGAGAUGUUGAAGCAAGGUUACACCCCAAAGAAAAUGUUUGAAAUGUCGGAAGAAUUCUUCACCUCGAUGGGUUUGCUGCCGACUCCGCCCGAAUUUUGGAGCGGAUCCAUCAUCGAGAAACUGGUGGGUAAGGAAAUGGUGUGUCACGCUUCUGCUUGGGACUUUUGCAACGGCAAGGAUUUCAGGAUCAAGCAAUGCACCAAGGUCACCAUGGAGGACUUUAUUGUCGUCCAUCACGAAAUGGGACACAUCCAGUACUUUUUACAGUACAAAAAUCUUCCGCUAGUCUACAGGGACGGAGCCAAUUCUGGUUUUCACGAAGCUGUAGGCGAUUCUCUAGCCCUCUCUGUCCAGACCACCAAACAUCUUAAGGAAAUCGGAUUAUUAGACAAAUCAACACCCCAAGAUCAGGAAGCGACCAUCAAUUACCUAUUGGCGACAGCUUUGGAAAAAAUCGCCUUUUUCCCAUUUGCGUACAUCAUGGACAAGUGGCGCUGGGAUGUGUUUGACGGGUCCGUUAAAUCGACCGAUUACAAUGGUCAUUGGUGGAAGCUUCGUGAGAAGUACCAAGGCAUCCGAUCGCCAGUAACAAGAUCCGAAAAUGAUUUCGAUCCCGGAGCAAAAUAUCAUAUUGCAGCCAACGUCGAGUACAUUAGGUAUUUUGUGAGCUUCGUUAUCCAGUUCCAGUUUUACAAAUCCCUGUGCACGACAGCCGGACAAUAUGAUCCGCACAAUCCAUCCCAACCACUUCACGAGUGCGACUUUUACAGGAACAAAGAAGCAGGAGCCAAAUUAGGAACGAUGUUGGCUAUGGGAGCUUCCCGACCUUGGCCAGAAGCGAUGCGAGCCGUCACGGGACAAGAUCGCAUGGACGCCAGCGCUUUCCGUGAAUAUUUUAAGCCCCUGGAGGUGUGGCUGAUAGCCAAGAACAAGGAACUUGGCGAACCUGUCGGAUGGGAUUCAGAUCAGUAAUAUUUGGUAAUGGAAACUGAGUUGAAAAUGUUACCCCAAAAAUCCGUUAACUGUUCACCUCAAUUGCAUUGACGUAUUAAGUAUUUAGCGUCACAUUUUGCAAAAUUUGAAGUGACCUAAUGUAAUUAAGUUUGUGUUACCAGAAUGUAUCAAUCGAAAAAGCAAACGGGCUUUAUUAUGAUGCUGGAAUAGAUUUUUCUUUGACAGGAUUUCUGUAUUGGAUUGUAAUGGAACUUUGUGUGGACAUCUGAACUUUGAAUUGGAGUGUCAUCCAAAUAAUAGACAGGUAGUUAUCGUUAUCUUCAGCUAAUAUUCUUGCUUAAUUACCUAAAAAGGCAAGAGGUAUGAGGUCCUAACGUGGGACUUAUUCUUCGGCGCUGAGCACCUGCGAUCGGUAUCCUCCCGCGUUUUCAGAUCUCAAAUGACGCAAGUUGCUCUUGAUAAGGAAACGACAAAUGCCGCCGAUGAGUCAUGAAACAGGUUAGGCUUCAUUCACUCACAUUUGUUUUUCACAAUUUCACGUUCCCUCUCACUUUGUGACUUUGCUGCUUAUUUCAUUUAAUAACUUCUAACUAUCUAGUAUCUACCUAUAUCUAUUGAGCUUAUGGGAUGUGCUCUUUUGUUUACAAUUCUGAAUUAACUGUCAAACUGCCGACUGUUAUUUGCAGCAACUAAAGAAAGUGCUCUGCUCAAAAUAGGAAUCCUUCUGACGUUGGCCUGUGUUUCAUCAAGGGCUAAAAGAUAAAACAUGUAGUAGAUGCUGUGCUACGCAAUGUCCCGAAAAUUUAAUCGCAAUCCUCAGAGUUACUUGUAGUUCAGUUAAGAAUCCUUUGAUGAAGCUAGCGCAGCGAAUACAGCCCCUUCUUCGAUUCGAAUCUUCACAGUGUGUACCUUGAAUACGAAACAGCAGGUACUUAGUUGCCAAUCACCAUCAAAUCCCAAUGCAAUGCAAUUCACAAUAACAGUAGCCGUUGUUU